UUCUGGACCUCAUGUGGCUUCAGAAGUUUGGCAGAAGAGAAGGGCAGAGUCAAAUCUAAAAUAAGAAGAAAUCAAGUUUUGUGUAUUCUCUUUUGGCUGUAAACUCAUUGGAAGCCUGAACUCAUGAAUAAUUUAAAAUUUGAAUUGCAUCUGCUUUACUGAACCAUUUGUG